rnacentral:lncRNA from 1 species
UUUGUUUAAAAUCAUGAGGCAAAGAUAAUUUCCAUUCAUGUCUACAACUGUCCUUUGAGAAGCAGCAUCUACACAGUUUCACCCAGAGUGGAUACUCAAAGCAAAAUAGAACAAAACAUAGAACUCAUUGAACACUUGACUCCUGAAUGUUCAGAUCUAUGUUUGAGUUGUUCCGCUAAUCCUAGGAGAGUGAUUAAAGGUCCACAUGUAGUAUAAAAGGACCAAUGUUUAGG